UCCGGUUUGACACCGGCAGUCCCCUUAGAGUCCCCGGCAUAACCCGCUGGUAACUAAGGGCAAAGGUUUCGCUCGUUAAGGGACUUAACCCGACAUCUCACGACACGAGCUGACGACAGCCAUGCAGCACCUGUACCAGUUGUACCCCGAAGGGCCUACCCCACUUUCAUGGGGAUAAUCCUGGCAUGUCAAGCCCAGGUAAGGUUCUGCGCGUUGCUUCGAAUUGAACCACAUGCUCCACCGCUUGUGUGAGCCCCCGUCAAUUCCUUUGAGUUUUAGCCUUGCGACCGUACUUCCCAGGCGGUCGACUUAGCACUUUUGCUUCGACCGUGACGGCGUCAGAGCCGCCACGAUCUAGUCGACAUCGUUUAGGGCCAGGACUAC
rnacentral:misc_RNA from 1 species